rnacentral:tRNA from 1 species
GGUACCGUGGCCGAGUGGUUAGGUAGCGGUCUGCAAAACCGCGUACAGCAGUUCGAUUCUGCUCGGUACCUC